UGACAAUGGGAAAAAGUCUAUGCCAUCUCUUGGCUCUUUAGAUGCUACUACGUUUACCAUAACAACUGUGUCGCCAUAUCUUACUAAUACGUUUCCAUUAGCAAGUCCUGCUAAUUUUCCUGUUUCAAUUGUAAGUGUUCUUCCUGCUAAUUCCAUUGAAUAAGUUUUAAACAUUUUUUUCUCUCCUUUUAUAUUAUUUUUGAUACAGUAAUUUUAAGAUAAUUAUAUUAUAAAGUAACCUCUAAAAUAUAUUCUAAGUCA
rnacentral:antisense_RNA from 1 species